CCUACGGGUGGCUGCAGUGGGGAAUAUUGCACAAUGGUGGGAACCCUGAUGCAGCGACGCCGCGUGAGUGAAGAAGUAAUUCGGUAUGUAAAGCUCUAUCAGCAGGGGAGAAAAUGACGGUACCUGACUAAGAAGCCCCGGCUAACUACGUGCCAGCAGCCGCGGUAAUACGUCGGGGGCAAGCGUUAUCCGGAUUUACUGGGUGUAAAGGGGGCGUAGACGGCAGUGCAAGUCUGGAGUGAAAGGCUGGGGCUCAACCCCCGGACUGCUCUGGAAACUGUAAGGCUGGAGUGCAGGAGAGGUAAGCGGAAUGCCUAGUGUAGCGGUGAAAUGCGUAGAUAUUAGGAGGAACACCAGUGGCGAAGGCGGCUUACUGGACCGAAACUGACGUUGAGGCUCGAAAGCGUGGGGAGCAAACAGGAUUAGAUACCCGAGUAGUC
rnacentral:rRNA from 1 species